CAGUCGCCACGGUAAUACGGAGGGUGCGAGCGUUAAUCGGAAUAACUGGGCGUAAAGGGCACGCAGGCGGUGACUUAAGUGAGGUGUGAAAGCCCCGGGCUUAACCUGGGAAUUGCAUUUCAUACUGGGUCGCUAGAGUACUUUAGGGAGGGGUAGAAUUCCACGUGUAGCGGUGAAAUGCGUAGAGAUGUGGAGGAAUACCGAAGGCGAAGGCAGCCCCUUGGGAAUGUACUGACGCUCAUGUGCGAAAGCGUGGGGAGCAAACAGGAUUAGAUACCCCGGUAGUCCCUGUCUCUUAUAC
rnacentral:rRNA from 1 species